rnacentral:rRNA from 1 species
AGUGGCGGACGGGUGAGUAACGCGUGGGUAACCUGACCUCACACAGGGGGAUAACAGUUGGAAACGACCGCUAAUACCGCAUAAGCCAACAGGGGCGCAUGCUCUGGUUGGAAAAGAUUUAUCGGUGUGAGAUGGACCCGCGUCUGAUUAGCCAGUUGGCAGGGUAACGGCCUACCAAAGCGACGAUCAGUAGCCGGCCUGAGAGGGUGAACGGCCACAUUGGGACUGAGACACGGCCCAAACUCCUACGGGAGGCAGCAG